GACGAACGCUGGCGGCGUGCUUAACACAUGCAAGUCGAACGGAAAGGCCCUGGUUUGGUGGGGUGCUCGAGUGGCGAACGGGUGAGUAACACGUGAGUGACCUGCCCUGCACUUUGGGAUAACUUCAGGAAACUGGGGCUAAUACCGGAUAGGAGCAUCGUGUGGAUGGUGGGGGUGGGAAUGUUUCCGCGGUGGGGGAUGGACGCGCGGCUUAUCAGUGUGUGGGUGGGGUAGUGGCUUACCAAGGCCUGGACGGGUAGCCGGCCUGAGAGGGUGGCCGGCCACAUUGGGACUGAGAUACGGCCCAGACUCCUACGGGAGGCAGCAGUGGGGAAUAUUGCACAAUGGGCGGAAGCCUGAUGCAGCGACGCCGCGUGGGGGAUGACGGCCUUCGGGUUGUAAACCGCUUUCGCCUGUGACGAAGCGUGAGUGACGGUAAUGGGAGAAGAAGCACCGGCUAGCUACGUG
rnacentral:rRNA from 1 species